rnacentral:rRNA from 1 species
GAUGAACGCUGGCGGCGUGCCUAAUACAUGCAAGUCGAGCGAACAGAUGAGAAGCCUGCUCCUCUGACGUUAGCGGCGGACGGGUGAGUAACACGUGGAUAACCUACCUAUAAGACUGGGAUAACUUCGGGAAACCGGAGCUAAUACCGGAUAAUAUAUUGAACCGCAUGGUUCAAUAGUGAAAGACGGUUUUGCUGUCACUUAUAGAUGGAUCCGCGCCGCAUUAGCUAGUUGGUAAGGUAACGGCUUACCAAGGCAACGAUGCGUAGCCGACCUGAGAGGGUGAUCGGCCACACUGGAACUGAGACACGGUCCAGACUCCUACGGGAGGCAGCAGUAGGGAAUCUUCCGCAAUGGGCGAAAGCCUGACGGAGCAACGCCGCGUGAGUGAUGAAGGUCUUCGGAUCGUAAAACUCUGUUAUUAGGGAAGAACAAAUGUGUAAGUAACUAUGCACGUCUUGACGGUACCUAAUCAGAAAGCCACGGCUAACUACGUG